GGCAGUCGCGCGGGGCCUGGGGCAGGAAACAGAGGAACAGAGGCGCAGCGCUCCGAGCAGGCGCCGGGCCCCGAGCAUGGUGAGACCGGCCAGAGAUCCAAGGGACGGCCGGGGUACGUUCCGGCUCGCAGUCCGCCAGAGCAGCUUUCUUCACCCGCACAGUCCUGCCGUCAGGCUCUCGGGUCGCUCUUCCCUCCGCGCCCCAAGCCGUUCCUGCAGGAGCCCUCCUCCGCGUCCAGCUCCCGAAAGCACAGAAGGUUCUACUACACCGAACACGGAGACCUAUGUUACAGUGUAGUGUUUGGAUUCACACUUCUGCCUUUAGAUUCAUCACCUUCCCGAUAGCAGCAAGAACGACAUUUCUAACGUGAAUGUCCUACCGUGCCAGCCACAGUGAUGAGUAGAGUGUUACACAGUGGCCAUUCCAUGCCAAGAACACUUCAUGUGUUAACUCCAUCUUCACAGUCGCUCAUGCUUAGAAGAAACGGAAGCUUAGAGCUUCUGCCGCAUACACCGAGUUACUUAAAAGUCUUGUUCCGUUCGUGUUCUUACUCAUUUUGUUACUCUAGUGAUUAGACACCCAUGAAUUGUUCCUCCUACAACAUAAAGAAGACUUAUCUACCAGACUUUCUGUGAUUCUCAGUUUCCUGAAGAAUGGAGUGAGAAACAGAAACGAAUUGUCCAUGUUGUUACCCUCUGGUAUUUUCUAUCUGUGCCGUGAAUUAUAUCAGCAUUAUUCCUGAACUCUGUGAAGGAUUAUUUUUUAAAUAAAAAUUUUUUUACUUGUA